UACGAGGGGGGCGAGCGUUGUUCGGAAUUAUUGGGCGUAAAGGGUGCGUAGGCGGUUUGGUAAGUCUGAUGUGAAAUCUAUGGGCUCAACUCAUAGUCUGCAUCGGAAACUGCCGGGCUUGAGUAUGGGAGAGGUGAGUGGAAUUCCUGGUGUAGCGGUGAAAUGCGUACGAUAUCAGGAGGAACACCUGUGGCGAAAGCGGCUCACUGGACCAUAA
rnacentral:rRNA from 1 species